rnacentral:rRNA from 1 species
AACGAACGUUAGCGGCGCGCCUAACACAUGCAAGUCGAACGCGACAGGGGCAACUCUGUUGAGUGGCGCACGGGUGAGUAACACGUAGGUAAUCUCCCCCCGAGUGGUGGAUAACCUUCCGAAAGGAGGGCUAAUACAGCAUAAGACCACGGCUUCGAAAGAAGCUGAGGUCAAAGCGGAGGAUCGCAAGACUUCGCGCUUGGGGAUGAGCCUGGGGCCCAUCAGGUAGUUGGCGGGGUAACAGCCCACCAAGCCUAAGACGGGUAGCUGGUCUGAGAGGAUGAUCAGCAACACUGGAACUGAGACACGGUCCAGACUCCUACGGGAGGCAGCAGUGGGGAAUAUUGCGCAAUGGGCGAAAGCCUGACGCAGCAACGCCGCGUGAGUGAUGAAGGCCUUCGGGUCGUAAAGCUCUGUCGGGAGGAACGAAUGCUCCUGAGGUUAACAGCCUCAGGAGGUGACGGUACCUUCAAAGGAAGCACCGGCUAACUCUGUGCCAGCCGCCGCAGUAAGAC